rnacentral:miRNA from 1 species
UACAGAACAAUAAUAGUGCAAUAUGUCAAGUGAAAUUCACUUGACAUAUUGCACUAUUAUUGUUCUGUAC